GCUGAAAUAGUUAAGUUGGCAGAAUGGUAGAUUGAAGAGCUAAAGGUCCCUGGUUCAAUCCUGGGUUUUGGCA